rnacentral:rRNA from 1 species
GUGGACCUCGGAUCAGGU